GGGGAACAAAUGCACAGAUGAACUGCAGUCCUCUACAGCAACAUGGCAAGAUAUAAAGCUAUUUUGAAUUGCUGAUGAUGGCAGUUUGCACCAUUUGUGUUGUCACUACAGCAAGUCCUGCUUGCAUAUAGAACACAGCCGGGCAGUUCUUCCUAGUCAGCAGCGCAUAUUUAUGAUUAAUCCCAUAUGGACUAUGCAGCACUGGUUCUGCAUGCAUCUGUGUUGGGUGGAGUUUUUUUUUUUUAAAUUAAAUAUGUUCUCUGCAACCCAACUGCUGAACUGUUUUGUGACCUCCACUGGCAGACUUUAUUUUUGAAUACAGGCGCUUGAAACCAUGCGUGGUUGCUCUUAUUGAUUUUGAUUUCUCUUGCUGUAGACUCCCACGACCAUUUCCUUACCUCUACGGUUUUGGGACUUCUCCAUGGCGCAGUACAGGACUGUGGACCUGGAGUGCCCAUUUCAAAGCCCCUCUGACAAUCUUGCUACAGAUGCCCCACUACCCACACCAACCCCACCAAGCACCACCAAGGAUGGGAUCGGCCCGUCUGCUGUUCCAAAGCCUAAAAUCUUCUGCUCUUCUCAUGAGAUGACUGUGGAGCUCCCCUUUGGUCCCAUUUCAGAAAUAGUUGUUAAAGACAUCAAGGGGAACCAGAUGAACCUCAAGGAUGCCCCAAAGCAAUGUGGGUACUCUGCAAGCAAAGGCAAAGAUGGCAAAAUCCAUUUGAAUCUACAGUUGCACUCACGCUGCCACAUGAGUGUGCAGGGUACACUAUACAUCAUCACUGUCAUCUACAUGACACUAAAUGGCAAAAAGGAGUCUCAGUUUUCCUGUCCGGUUACCAUCUCGGGGCCCAGGCAAGAGUGCAACCUUCCUCACGAACAGCGUCUCCCCUGUGGAUCCAGCUCUCUAUCCCAGACACAGUGC
ensembl:lncRNA